AAUUGAAGGAAUACCAGGAACCAGGAAGUAAUUUGUGUUAUUCAGGACUCCUGCACCAACGCCACCUGCAGGAGAUACAGGGACACCCUGUCAUCUUUAAGACUGGCCUUUGUGAGGAGGUGCUGUUCCACCUUUGCUUUAACCCCUCUGCCAGCCCAUGUUGGUCUGUGCCACUGCAGGACGUCAUUAUGGGAAGCAGAUGAUCUCCUGCACAGAGCCACAAUGCAAACCCUCUGGUAUCUUUCAUCAACAGUUGUUCACCUCAGAC